rnacentral:rRNA from 1 species
UACAGAGGGUGCGAGCGUUGUCCGGAAUCACUGGGCGUAAAGGGCGCGUAGGUGGUGGCUUAAGCGUGCGGUGAAAGCUCGGGGCUCAACCCCGAGUCGGCCGUGCGAACUGGGCUCACUGGAGCAUAGUAGAGGCAGGUGGAAUUCCGGGUGUAGCGGUGGAAUGCGUAGAGAUCCGGAAGAACACCGGUGGCGAAGGCGGCCUGCUGGGCUAUGGCUGACACUGAGGCGCGACAGCGUGGGGAGCAAAAGGG